GGGGAUUUAACUUAGCGGCGUAAGUGCCUGCCUUGCAAGCAGGCAGUCCUGAGUUCGAUCCCCG
rnacentral:tRNA from 1 species